UACUACUUGGAUAUGGUCUCACUCUUUACAGCAUUCACUGCCUGGUGUUUGUCCUCCAUGGUUGCUUGCUCUUAUGGUCUACAGUCUACAGCAUCUUGAUCAGCAGUGUGCAGUAUAUCCAAACGGGAAGGUCUCUCCUCCAGCUUAAACAAGCUGUCUGAAACUUGGCCUGCGUGAUAGCCCGAGUGAUCCUCUUCUCAAUGCUGGAGGACAUCUUCAAUUUCUCACACGGCCAAACGCCACUCAGCAUCUGCGCUGGACGCCGGAAUGUUCACGUUCCAUGAGCGAAGCAUCCCUGCCGGAUAACGCUGUCACUGUGCACAAGGGGCCGUGACCCUUACAGGCCCCGGUUUUAUUGUCAGAGCUCACCGCGCUCACCUCGGAGCCAGGCAUACGCAGAUGGUGUCGCCUUUGAACAUUUUAUCUCUGGGAUUUCACGGUGGAAUGAUGCGGUAACUUAAACUGUUCGAGAGCAGUCCGGAAAUACAAAGCUUGCAGAAACUAAGAGGGACAGGAAAUAAAGGGAGAGAAAACAACUGAACGAAUCGAGUUUAACAUAAAAUACAGCUCAUGAGUGGUAAUGAAUUGUGUUAUAAGAUUUGAUGAAGUAAUACAGACGAUGUUGUACAUGGUAAACUUAUUAAUACGAAAUAAAUGAUUCAAAUUA